ensembl:miRNA xtr-mir-181a-1 xtr-mir-181a-1
GGCUACUUUAGUGAACAUUCAACGCUGUCGGUGAGUUUGGUAUCUAAAGGCAAACCAUCGAUCGUUGACUGUACAUUACGGCAAUGCCAG